UUAAAUUGAAGAGUUUGAUCAUGGCUCAGAUUGAACGCUGGCGGCAGGCCUAACACAUGCAAGUCGAACGGUAACAGGAAGCAGCUUGCUGCUUCGCUGACGAGUGGCGGACGGGUGAGUAAUGUCUGGGAAACUGCCUGAUGGAGGGGGAUAACUACUGGAAACGGUGGCUAAUACCGCAUAACGUCGCAAGACCAAAGAGGGGGACCUUCGGGCCUCUUGCCAUCAGAUGUGCCCAGAUGGGAUUAGCUAGUUGGUGAGGUAACGGCUCACCAAGGCGACGAUCCCUAGCUGGUCUGAGAGGAUGACCAGCCACACUGGAACUGAGACACGGUCCAGACUCCUACGGGAGGCAGCAGUGGGGAAUAUUGCACAAUGGGCGCAAGCCUGAUGCAGCCAUGCCGCGUGUAUGAAGAAGGCCUUCGGGUUGUAAAGUACUUUCAGCGGGGAGGAAGGUGUUGUGGUUAAUAACCACAGCAAUUGACGUUACCCGCAGAAGAAGCACCGGCUAACUCCGUGCCAGCAGCCGCGGUAAUACGGAGGGUGCAAGCGUUAAUCGGAAUUACUGGGCGUAAAGCGCACGCAGGCGGUCUGUCAAGUCGGAUGUGAAAUCCCCGGGCUCAACCUGGGAACUGCAUUCGAAACUGGCAGGCUUGAGUCUUGUAGAGGGGGGUAGAAUUCCAGGUGUAGCGGUGAAAUGCGUAGAGAUCUGGAGGAAUACCGGUGGCGAAGGCGGCCCCCUGGACAAAGACUGACGCUCAGGUGCGAAAGCGUGGGGAGCAAACAGGAUUAGAUACCCUGGUAGUCCACGCCGUAAACGAUGUCUACUUGGAGGUUGUGCCCUUGAGGCGUGGCUUCCGGAGCUAACGCGUUAAGUAGACCGCCUGGGGAGUACGGCCGCAAGGUUAAAACUCAAAUGAAUUGACGGGGGCCCGCACAAGCGGUGGAGCAUGUGGUUUAAUUCGAUGCAACGCGAAGAACCUUACCUGGUCUUGACAUCCACGGAAGUUUUCAGAGAUGAGAAUGUGCCUUCGGGAACCGUGAGACAGGUGCUGCAUGGCUGUCGUCAGCUCGUGUUGUGAAAUGUUGGGUUAAGUCCCGCAACGAGCGCAACCCUUAUCCUUUGUUGCCAGCGGUCCGGCCGGGAACUCAAAGGAGACUGCCAGUGAUAAACUGGAGGAAGGUGGGGAUGACGUCAAGUCAUCAUGGCCCUUACGACCAGGGCUACACACGUGCUACAAUGGCGCAUACAAAGAGAAGCGACCUCGCGAGAGCAAGCGGACCUCAUAAAGUGCGUCGUAGUCCGGAUUGGAGUCUGCAACUCGACUCCAUGAAGUCGGAAUCGCUAGUAAUCGUGGAUCAGAAUGCCACGGUGAAUACGUUCCCGGGCCUUGUACACACCGCCCGUCACACCAUGGGAGUGGGUUGCAAAAGAAGUAGGUAGCUUAACCUUCGGGAGGGCGCUUACCACUUUGUGAUUCAUGACUGGGGUGAAGUCGUAACAAGGUAACCGUAGGGGAACCUGCGGUUGGAUCACCUCCUUACCUUAAAGAAGC
rnacentral:rRNA from 1 species